CCUCAAAGAGAUUUUUCAGCGGCAUGAAUCGCGAUUCAAAGUAAACAGAAAGUGGAUGAGGAUAAGAAGGAGAUUCACCUAUGGGGGGAAAGACGGGGUCCUAUUGAUAGUAUUUUCUUUUACGGAGUGGUUGAAGCAUUAUCAAAAGUUAUAGUAACUGCAGGUGGGACGUUGAUGGUGAUGUUUAGUGCUCCCGUGAAAUGAUAUAGAGAGACAUAUCAUAUCCUACUACAGGUUUCAAACACAAUCCAUAGCCCAUCACCUUUCUUAUCUUUAUCCAUUUCAAUCUCCCAGCAUCUUCCAAAUCUCAAUCUUCAAUCUUUCACUUGGAGGUAAAUAAAGGCUCACGCAACAAGAAGUUCGUUGAUAGAACUUUCAUGGCCAUAUAAUCAGGAUAUCCUUCGGUGGUUCAAGACAUUCAGUAUUUCGUUUAUAGUUUUUGUUUGAUAGGUUGCGGGACCUAAAAGCAUGGAGAGAGGGCAGAUAUUCAACAAGAUCAUGAAGGUAGAGAUUCCAUCGGAGACUGAAAGAAUAUCGAGUGGUGGCACAAAGUUUACUUCUGGGCUUCAAAGACAGUCAAGCGCUACAAAGAGCAAUUGCCUAUGCUCUCCAACCUCCCAUGCUGGUUCUUUCCGGUGCAGGUUACACCGUGCCCCGAGCCUUCAAAGAACCAAAAGCAUUGACUCUGCUUCUCUGCGAGACUCUGAAACUAAGAUCAAUACGACAGCUGAUGGUGCUAGCAAUUUAAACACAAUUGAGGCCCAGUAAUUCACAUGAACGUAUCUAUGUACACCUGUAAGUGUGCAACUGCAGUUGUUUGCUAGCACAGUGGUCUUGAAGCUGUACAUUUUCCAUUUCCAUUUUCCUUUUCGUUUCUUACUGUAUAAAUAAAAAGUUACCUAUUUCUACGUC